AGUGAACGCUGGCGGUAGGCCUAACACAUGCAAGUCGAACGGCAGCACAGUAAGAGCUUGCUCUUACGGGUGGCGAGUGGCGGACGGGUAAGGAAUACAUCGGAAUCUACUUUUUCGUGGGGGAUAACGUAGGGAAACUUAUGCUAAUACCGCAUACGACCUACGGGUGAAAGCAGGGGAUCUUCGGACCUUGCGCGUUUGAAUGAGCCGAUGUCGGAUUAGCUAGUUGGCGGGGUAAAGGCCCACCAAGGCGACGAUCCGUAGCUGGUCUGAGAGGAUGAUCAGCCACACUGGAACUGAGACACGGUCCAGACUCCUACGGGAGGCAGCAGUGGGGAAUAUUGGACAAUGGGCGCAAGCCUGAUCCAGCCAUACCGCGUGGGUGAAGAAGGCCUUCGGGUUGUAAAGCCCUUUUGUUGGGAAAGAAAAGCAGCAGGUUAAUACCCCGCUGUUCUGACGGUACCCAAAGAAUAAGCACCGGCUAACUUCGUG
rnacentral:rRNA from 1 species